CAGGCCAUCAGACUCCAAACAGUUAUGCAACUGGAGCCUCCUGAGGAUGACCCCUUCUGCCUGGGACCCUUAGAUCAGCCUCUAGAGAAGCUUUGACUGCUGUUUCCCCAAAACAGCACCCCCUGCCAUCAGGAAGCAAGCUGAUCAAGGAGAGAAGAUAAGGCAUGGAUAUUCAGUUUAAAAUGGUAGAGAACCAUAAUAAUACCUACCUUGAAGUGAUGAUAUAAACUACAUGACACAGAGUACUUGCUUCACACAGUGUUGGAACACACAGAGCUGCCACCUGGAAAUCCCUGCUCAUCUAAGGGUUGCAUCUAGACUCUGAAAGCCAUGUUGGUUCACCACAUGUAUCGCAUCCUGAUAAUGUGAAGUGAAAAAGUAGAGCCUGGAAGCCUUUGUAAGAUGACUGUGCCAGAGGAGGAAGAUAAAUAUCUCGAUGCUAUGGAGGCCUGUCAGCUCUUUGAAGUAUCUGGGCAAUAUCAAGAUUUCUACUUCAGAUGAAAAAACAAAUAGUUAUUCAUUGACCCUGUUGCCGCCAAGAAAGAGAAACUCAGGAAUUCUGCUCUUGGGAAGAUGGAUUAGAUGUAUUAUUCUUUACUCUUCCCACUAACUACAACUAAAA
rnacentral:lncRNA from 10 species